UUAUCCGGAUAUAUUGGGUUUAAAGGGUGCGUANGCGGUUUGAUAAGUUAGAGGUGAAAUCCCGGGGCUUAACUCCGGAACUGCCUCUAAUACUGUUAGACUAGAGAGUAGUUGCGGUAGGCGGAAUGUAUGGUGUAGCGGUGAAAUGCUUAGAGAUCAUACAGAACACCGAUUGCGAAGGCAGCUUACCAAACUAUAUCUGACGUUGAGGCACGAAAGCGUGGGGAGCAAACAGGAUUAGAUACCCUGGUAGUCCACGCAGUAAACGAUGAUAACUCGUUGUCGGCGAUACACAGUCGGUGACUAAGCGAAAGCGAUAAGUUAUCCACCUGGGGAGUACGUUCGCAAGAAUGAAACUCAAAGGAAUUGACGGGGGCCCGCACAAGCGGAGGAACAUGUGGUUUAAUUCGAUGAUACGUGAGGAA
rnacentral:rRNA from 1 species